rnacentral:rRNA from 1 species
UGGGGAAUAUUGCACAAUGGGCGCAAGCCUGAUGCAGCAAUGCCGCGUGUGUGAAGAAGGCCUGCGGGUUGUAAAGCACUUUUAUCGGGAAAGAAAAACUCAAAGUUAAUACCCUUGAACUUGACGGUACCCGAGGAAUAAGCACCGGCUAACUCCGUGCCAGCAGCCGCGGUAAUACGGAGGGUGCAAGCGUUAAUCGGAAUUACUGGGCGUAAAGCGAGUGUAGGCGGCAACGUAAGUCGGAUGUGAAAUCCCCGGGCUCAACCUGGGAAUGGCAUUCGAAACUGCGUAGCUAGAGUUUGACAGAGGAAUGUGGAAUUCCGGGUGUAGCGGUGAAAUGCGUAGAUAUCCGGAGGAACACCAGUGGCGAAGGCGGCAUUCUGGGUCAAAACUGACGCUGAGGCUCGAAAGCGUGGGGAGCAAACAGGAUUAGAUACCCCCGUAGUCC